UGGGGUAUAGCUCAAUGGUGGAGCACUUACCUAGCAUGCACGAGAUCCUGGGUUCAAUCUCUGGUACUUUAA
rnacentral:tRNA from 1 species